GCUGAACCGGUUUCGGCCGGGGAUGAGUGGCGAACGGGUGAGUAACACGUGGGUAAUCUGCCCUGCACUCUGGGAUAAGCCUUGGAAACGAGGUCUAAUACCGGAUAUCACAACUCUUCGCAUGGGGGGUUGUUGAAAGUUCCGGCGGUGCAGGAUGAACCCGCGGCCUAUCAGCUUGUUGGUGGGGUAAUGGCCUACCAAGGCGACGACGGGUAGCCGGCCUGAGAGGGUGACCGGCCACACUGGGACUGAGACACGGCCCAGACUCCUACGGGAGGCAGCAGUGGGGAAUAUUGCGCAAUGGGCGCAAGCCUGAUACAGCGACGCCCCGUGAGGGAUAACAGGCUUCCGGUUGUGAACCUCUUUCUCCCAGGACCAAACGCAAGUGACGGGACCUGGGUAAGAAACACCGGUAACUACCUGCCAGGAACCCCGUAAUACGGAGGGGGCGGGCGUUGGCCGGAUUUAUGGGGCGUAAAGAGCUUGGAAGCGGUUUGUCGCGUCGGCCGUGAAUUUGCGCG
rnacentral:rRNA from 1 species